rnacentral:rRNA from 1 species
UACGGAGGGAGCUAGCGUUGUUCGGAAUUACUGGGCGUAAAGCGCACGUAGGCGGCUAUUCAAGUCAGAGGUGAAAGCCCGGGGCUCAACCCCGGAACUGCCUUUGAAACUAGGUAGCUAGAAUUCUGGAGAGGUCAGUGGAAUUCCGAGUGUAGAGGUGAAAUUCGUAGAUAUUCGGAAGAACACCAGUGGCGAAGGCGACUGACUGGACAGAUAUUGACGCUGAGGUGCGAAAGCGUGGGGAG